UUGUUUUGCUACUUGGUGGUUAAGAGGCAUCCGAAAGGAUUAGCCUAGUGAGCGUUGAGGCUUGCGACACUAUCAAAUUGCGGGGACGUCCUAAAGCUUUUGCGACCAAGCAUCUGUGGAAACACAGGUGUGGCCGAGUUAAUAGCCCUGGGUAUGGUAAUACUGCAAAAGAUGUUACAAUGGAUAAUCCGCAGCCAAGUCCUAAGGGCCUGUAAAAAGGCCUAUGGAUGCAGUUCACAGACUAAAUGGUAGUGGGUGUGCAUUGAGUUGUGUUUCAGCUCUGCAUGCUUAAGAUAUAGUCGGUCCUGCCGCGAAAGCGGACC
rnacentral:ncRNA from 1 species